GAGAACCAUGACUAAUACAGUACCUGUCCUGGUCUGUACUUUUCUUCCCUCGCCAAAUCACAGAUGAAUUUUUUUCUCCUCAGGAGAUUUUUAUAAUUUUUAAUGUAGGUUGUUACUUUCUCCAAAUCCAUUCACUUCUCUCUCAUUUUGCUGACUUCUUCAGUGCUCUGAUGUGAGAGGAAGAUAGAAGCCCAUACUAGCAAUUAAUUCUUUCAAAAAUGUUUUUCUAGGCCAGGCACAGUGGCUCAUGCCUGUAAUCCCAGCACUUUGGGAGGCUGAGGUGGGUGGAUCACCUGAGGUCGAGAGUUCGAGACCAGCCUGGUCAACAUGGUGAAACCCUGUCUCUACUAAAAAUACAAAAUUAUCCGGGCGUGGUGAUGCAUGCCUGUAAUCCUAUCUACUUGGGAGACUGAGGCAGGAGAAUCACUUGAACCCGGGAGGCGGAGUUCACGUGCCUGCUUGGUUUCCUAGAAUAUCUUCUCCAUAAGACAUGAGAUUCAAGCCUGGGAUAUUGUAGUGAAGAAGAGAGAAAGAGAAUGGCAACACCUGAGUUCCAGGAGUCAGCCUGCUAGUAGUAACAGCUAAGUCUUGGUGUUGCUAUGGGGUGGUCUGGCUCUUCAACUAGGCUUUGAUAUUCUUCUAUUGGACAUAAACAAUCUCAGAAAACGUUAAUAUCAGACAAGGCUAUUCUGUCACCAUGAUAGACCAAGACUAAGGCAAGACCACUUCAUAAUAAUUCCUGUACAAAGGCAAAAUAUGAACAUUGUCCACAUCAAAUAAGUGACUAAACAUUUCUUUAAACCAGUUAAUACGAGUGAAUGCUAUUUCCUUAUGAAACAGUGUUAGACUUGCUCUCAUCUAUCUCCCUUCUAGAUUAAACUCAGUCAUAGAAUUGUCUAAACUUUAUGAUAGCAUCCAAUCCAGAGUAAGCCCACUUCUUUCAAUCCUCCCGAAAAUCACUAAAGCAAAGUUCAGAUAGAGUAAGUCAUUUCUAAAACCCAUUUACAGAGAUGCUCCACAAUUCCCCAUGAUGUGCAUUGUCCUUUGCUACGAUGGGAAAUUAACUCAACUUGUUCAAAUACAGGUGUGUUCUUUUUUCUCCUUAGUAGAGGGCAUUGAAUACAAGAGAGAGAGAAGAGAACACAAAGCAGUUUCAGAAAAACACCCAAAAUAAAUCACAAGAAGUAUACCCAAAAUACUUGAAACUUUUCUUGUGUUCCACCAAAAUCUCUAAAUCCCAGAGUAUAUCCUUGAAUUUCAAUUCCAUCAUGUUAGAAUUUAUUUUCAAAGAUGGAGGAUAGAGUAAAUGGUCAAUGCUUCUCUGGUGCAGAGAGGGGUCUUCUUAAAUAUACCCCUAACUUUAUGUCCCAUUGAAAAAAGUAAUAAAAGUAAAUUAAUUAAGAGAAUAUUGACCUCUGAAAAAAUUGCUUGCUCCUUCUUACAGAUAUUUAUGUCAGAGCACAGGGAAUAGUAUUUUAUCACCUUCCUGACUUUUUAUUCCCAUUGCAUAAAUCUGUCAGUGAGCAAGCUCUAUCCCCAGCUGGGCUGGUCUAGCUACAAAAUAAGACAGGCAGAUACCAAUGCAAAACUGUGGUUUAUUUUUGAAAAACUUUUACCUCUGCUUUCAUUUUGGCUUUUAAUAAGUUUGACAAUUCUCAGCAUUUUUUUUUUUUGCUUUUUUGUCCAAAUUUCCUGCCUGAUGGGGAAGUCUGAGGAUGAUUAAUGUUCAAGAAAGUUGUGAGGAAAUGUGCCACCCAAGUUUAAUGCAUUAUUAUUUUACUAAAUCACAAUUUUCUUGGUGUCCAUAUCAGUAGCCUAACCUUAUGCAGUAAUAACUGAUUCAGACUUCAUUUAUAAAACGGAAGGGAAAAAUGCAAGAAUAAAAAGGAAGAGAAUUCACAGCAGAGCAAAGAGAAAUUACUGCCAUAUGAACUCUAACACUGUAGCAUUCUUUCACGGUCUGGUACUUUUUAAUCUUGAGUCAUAGAUGGAAAAAUAAAGGAAAAAAAUUGAGGCACAACCAUUCUACAGUAGGCAAGGCAAUUGAGAUUGCUUGGAUUCAUUACUCUGAACUCCAGCAAACAGCUACAGAAUGCCUAGAAUUCCCCAGACAUGACUAUUACAGCUCUCUGUGGUGGCUCAACAGACUUCGUUUUCAGAUAGGUUAUUUGGAGCACCAAUUUUCUUUCUAAAAAUCUUUGUUUUGGCCUUGAUUUGGAAAUAACCUAUGACCGUAGUAUUUAUUUUUCUGCUUAAGAAUUCAUAGAGAAUUUUGGUUUGGGCAGCAUGACAACUUUUACUUAAUAAAAAUAUGAGAAAAAUAUAUAGUUAUAUAGGCUGAUUCCUUUUCACAAUAACUCUACUGAGCUCAUAUAAUUCAAUCUAGUUUAUUUGUUUUUGUUUUCAUUUUUCUUUAUGUCUCUGACUGAGGCCCAGUGGGCACACUCAAUUUGGAAGGGUUUUAGAAAACAUGGCUGAAAAAUGAUGAAUUACGUAUGUAUUAAAUUGAUGUUCACAAUUUCCUGUAAGUAUAAUCUCUUUUCAUGAAAGUGAUGACUCUUUCAUAAUAGCUGAACUUUAUAAACACACGCACACACAAACUAAAUUAAAUUAAAUUAAAUAUGUCCAGGUAAUAUUUCUAAAUAUAUAUAGAAAGUUAAUCUAAAUUCUAAAUACCUUGUUGAUGUAUGCAGUAUUUUAAAGUCAUUUGGGGGAUAACAAUUCUGGCAUUGUCCUAUAGCAACAAUAAAGAGAGGCAGUUUAAAAACAGCAAUGUAAAGAAGGAUUUCAAGCCAACAUUAAUGGUGUGAUUUAGUCAAGCCCUUUUUAUUGUGGAAUUUUAUAAACCAUUCAAAAUUAUACUUAUAGCUAACAUUUCAAUAUAUUAAAAAUGCUCACAAUAAAAAUUAAUUUCUAAAAAGGCAAAUGAAUGGAGGAUGCAUAUGCAAUAUGUCCUUAACUAUAAAUAUGUUGAAAGAUGAGAGAUCAUGUGGCUGAUAGGCCAGUUGAUACAUAAUAAAAAGAAUAAAUAUAAAGAGACAAAGAGAGAAAAAAAGGAAUAAGAAAGGAAGAACAUAAAGGAAGAAGGAAGAGAGGGAGAGAGGAAGAAAGCAAUAGACGGAGGAAAGGAAAAGGUAGGAGGAAAAAAGACAAAGCUAGCAGGAAACCAAUAUAUAUAUAAUAAAUAUUAAUGUUAAGAAUAUAUUAAUUAAUGGAAGUGUUAAUGAUCUGUGAGUGGUCUGCCCAGAUGUGAUUCUUACUAUACUAUUACAUAGCCCAAAUUUUCUUAAUUGGACAUACAUUUUCUGUAGCCAGAAAAUUAAAAUAUUAAUUUCAGAAAAAAAUUGUUAUUUCUAUCCUCUAAAUGCAUGCCCCAAUGAAUAAUAGUCAAAUAUUAAAAUUACACACACAAAAGUUGUGAAAUAGAAGACUAUAUAUAUUUUUUCAUUAACAUAAACAGAAAAAUUCCUACUAGCUCUUCACAUCAGGAUUUGUAUGACCCAUUAACGUGUUCAAAUGCAACAUUGCUCAUUAAAGGAAGAGUUCUUACAACUCAAUUCAAGGUAAUUAUUAUUUUUAUUUUCUUUGUACUAAUGUCAUUUUGAAUAAAAUAUAUUCAUCAUUAAAACUUUUAUGAGCUCCUACAAGUGCAAAAGAAAAGAAUUUUGAUUGAUGUUUCUGACUGUUGAAUGUUAACCUCUAUCCUAAAGAUUGCUCACACAUAAUGGAAAAGUUAAUUCCCACUACAGUGGUAAUAUUCAUUGUACAGAUGAGGGGACAAACAUUAUGGUAUACACUAACUUCUAGCCUGACAUGGUAUUUCCAUUAAUCUGAAUCUAUCAUUAGUCUUUACUUUGGAACCUAAGCAAAACUGCAUCAACACUUACAGGUGGAUCAUAAAGACAAUUGUGAAAAUCAGUACCUGGAUUUUCAAAAAUGUUUAAUUGAUACUUUCAAUAUUCUUUUUUGAGAUAUUUUUCCUCUUCCAGGCAAUAAGGCCCCAGCAACUGACCUCACAGGAAUAGUCCCUUGCUUCCUAGCUUGGCAGCACCCCACACUGUUGGUCUUGCAACAGGUAUGCAGAUACACACAAAAUGAAAAAAAAGCACAAGACAGAGUGAAUGGAUGUAUUUAGGUCCUGGUUACUUGACUAUAAUUUGUGAGAUAAAGUAUUUCUAAAGAGUAUUUUCCACAAUUCAUCCAAGUCUCUGUUUCAGCAUCCUAAUUCAAUAUUUGUACUUAUUAACCUACAGACUUGGAUAACAAAAAACUCAUUUAAAAAUAGAAAAGUAGCUCAUAAUUUUAAAGAAUAUAGAGAAGGCACAAUGAAAAUGAAAAUAUAUAAUAUCUUCACUAGCCAGGGAUAACUGUUAUUCCUCCAGCCAGAGAUAACUUUUAUUAUAUUUUUAGAUAAUUAUACAUCCUUACAAUUUUCUAUGUCUUAGUUUUAUAUAAAUAUGUGUUUUAUAUCACAAAAGUUUAAAUCUUUAAUAUUUAAAGAGGUUUAAAACACUGGUGUUUUCUGCAAACAAAUUAUGUCAUAAAAUAAUUUUCAUAGUAAAAUGCAUGCUAUUUUAAUUAACUUUGUAAUGUUACCUUAGAUGUAUAAAAAUGUAUUUAAACAAAUCCCUUCUUAUUUAAAUUUAGCUUACUCUUGGAUUUUCCAGUUUAUUUACCACAUACUUAUUAAUAUGUACUAUAGUUAUUUAAUAAUGUAUUUACUAUUAUAAUUAGCAUUGACACUGAGACAUGUUUUUUCACAAAUAUUUAGUGUUUUACAGUUCAAUUUUUAUAACAUAUAAUUAGUGAAUUGUACGAUGUAGAUAUUGAAUUUUUGAAAUUAUUUUGUAUGAAUAGUUUUACAUAUUUAUGAUACUAAUCUCAUGUUUUAAAUUUGUUGCAAAUGGUUUUCCUGAUGUUUGUCUCCUCUUAAAGACUAUGGUCUUUCUUCAUAUAGACUUUAAAAAAAAUGUUAUGUACUCAACUGACUUCUUUAUUAAAUAUAUUGUUUCCUAGCUUAUGAUUAUAUAGAUAUUUACCUAUAUGGACUUCUGAUGAUAUAUAUAUAUAUUUACAUAUUAUGAUAUAUUGAAUAUUUAAUACAGCUGAGUUUUGCUUUGGCAUUAAGUAUAGGAUUAACCUCUAUCCUUUACCCACUAAAAAGAAAUGUUAUCUUUAUAUUAUAUGUUUCAAUAUAAAUUCCUAAAUUUAAACUUAAUGUGAUUAUUCUAUAUAUAUAACUUGACAGUAGUGUCCAUUUAUUUGAUUAAAAUAAAAUUUUAACCUCAUUUAUUACAUAAUAAAUUAAGACUUUCCAUCACAUUUUCUUACACAAAUCUUUAUAUUUCUAGAUAAACUUAAAAAUCAUUAUUUUCCAAUUCUAAAAAUCUAAUAAAAUGUUCAUUAUAAAUCUAACAAAUAGGCUAACAUUAGAAGUAAUGCAUCUUUGAAAAUAUUAAUGCAAGCUAUCCCAUUGCAUGUAUUUAAAUUAUCUUGUUUAAUAGUUAGAUUCCUGUUCUCUUUACAUAGAGCAUAUUUAGAUGUGAUUAAGUUUCGUAUGAUUUUGAGCAACGUUUUCUAAAGAGAUUUUUUCAUCAUCUUAUAUAUGUCUUGUUUUGGAAAGUUGCAUUAAAUUUGCAACUGGCUAAUUUAUUUUCUUUUUUGAGCUGAUUAGGCAAUUGUAUUAACAUUGAAAUGUUUUUCCUGUUUUUGAUUUUUUAAAUUAUUUUGUUUUCUUGUGUUAUUGAUUUAGAAUGAGAGCUCACGUCUUGUCUUGUUCUUGAUUUUUAAUACAAAUGAUUUGAUCAAUGGAAGAUAUAAACAUUAACCAUGACUACUGCUUUUGGCUUGAUAUAAGUUUUAUUUUAUUAUGUUGGAGAAAUAGUCUGUUCUGGUUUUAUUGUUUUGCCAGGAAUGAAUGUAGAAUUUGAUCAAAUCUAUCUUUAGCUUAUUUCAAUAUAAUUUGCAGCUAAUGAAUUCUCUAAUUGGAUCAUCCUUGAAUUUUAGGGAUAAAUACUAGUUCUUCCUGUUAUAUUUAUUUUUUUGCAUGCUACUUAAUUUAAUUCAAAAUAUACAGAGUUAAUAUGCUUUUAUUUUAAUGCCAUCCUCUGCAAGUUAGUAAGAAAUAUGCUGAGUUCAAAAAUGCAAUGGCAAAUCCUUUUGGCUGAUCCAUGUGCUGAAGCAAUUCUAAUCAUGUAAACUUAAUCUACUGCCUAAAAAUUCUACAGAAAUCUCUUAUAAAACAGUUUUAACUCAGUAUCAUUAUAGGUGUAUUGGAAGAUGGUUUGCUGUUGUGUUGGUUGUUUUUCUCAUAUAGUUAGUGAAAUACUUAAAUUGUAUUUCUCUAAUUAAUUCGGCUUUGAUCAAUUGUAUUUUCUCACAAUAUCGUAUAAUUUCCUAUGAGUUUUAAUAUGUAUUAUUAUUUGAUAUAAUCUCCUAUUGUUUGUAAAAUAUAUUUGAUCUAUACAGUUAUAUCAUAUUAAUAAUUCACACUGGCAAUUGUUUGUGAUUAUAUUUUAAUUUAUUCUUGAUUACUUUGUAAGAAAUAUCUCUAAUAUUUUCAGUGUUUAAAAGACUUGCUUUCCAGAUU
rnacentral:lncRNA from 1 species